rnacentral:rRNA from 1 species
UACAGAGGUCUCAAGCGUUGUUCGGAUUCAUUGGGCGUAAAGGGUGCGUAGGUGGCGCGUUAAGUCUGUUGUGAAAUUUCGGAGCUUAACUCCGAAACUGCAUUUGAUACUGGCGUGCUUGAGGACUGGAGAGGAGACUGGAAUUCAUGGUGUAGCAGUGAAAUGCGUAGAGAUCAUGAGGAAGACCAGUGGCGAAGGCGGGUCUCUGGACAGUUCCUGACACUGAGGCACGAAGGCCAGGGGAGCAAACGGG